rnacentral:rRNA from 1 species
UACAUGGGGUGCAAACGUUGCUCGGAAUUAUUGGGCGUAAAGCGCACGUAGGCGGUUUGUUAAGUCGGAUGUGAAAUCCCUCGGCUCAACUGAGGAAGUGCAUCCGAAACUGGCAGGCUUGAGUACUAAAGAGGGUCGCGGAAUUCCCGGUGUAGAGGUGAAAUUCGUAGAUAUCGGGAGGAACACCGGCGGCGAAGGCGGCGACCUGGGUAGAUACUGACGCUGAGGUGCGAAAGCGUGGGGAGCAAACAGG